AUGAUGCUGCUGGCAGCACUCCUGGCCACAGUCACUUGGUCCUAUGGAUUUGCACAAGAAAUUCUCAUGCAGAUUCCUGUGUCUGUCACCAAGUCUAAAGGAAGUGUACGUCUGGAAUGUCACUUCAAAAAAUUAUCUGGAGAUUUUGAUGGCACCACCAUGCACUGGUAUCAACAGAAGGAGAAUAAAGCUCCAGAGAGGAUGCUUUAUUUUUCACGGGCAAAAGUAGUAGAUGAGGGCUUCCAAGCGCACAGGUAUCAGACUGAAAAAGUUUCUAGCCAGAAACUGUGUAUUCUUACAAUAAACAAUGUCAUUCCAGACGACGCUGCUACCUACUAUUGCGCCUACUGGGAUACACACUAUGGUAGAAACUCAGAGAUCCCCCAGACAAAUACUCUCUCAGCAUCUCAACCACAAACAACUUGA